UGGAGGCAAGAAAACUGAUUUAAUGA
rnacentral:piRNA from 1 species